rnacentral:lncRNA from 1 species
UUCUGUUUAAAAUUAAAGGAACUUUUGAAAAACUAGGGACUUAAAGUUAAGCCUUUUAAAGUGAAAUCAUACUCUAUCAACAACAUUAUAUACCUAAUGCAAUUCAGAAAUCCAAACCAGUAUACACCAUCUGAUACCAUUUUUGGGUCCAUACGUUACUUGUAACAAAUUAAGAACUACCCACACGUGGUAUGAUAUGUGUAUGUUCAAUUUUUUUUUCUUAUACAAUUUAUAACUUUAAAAUAAACGCUAAAUUAUAUCACUGUUUAUAAACUGAAUAAUUAAUUGAUUUUGGUAUAUAUGUGUAUGAUCAUUAGGCUUUUGGGCCAAAAGUGAAGAAAUAGGUUAGGCUAGUCGCAUCCACUAAUAUGCUUUCAUCCGACCCAUGUCAGGGGUUUCAAACAUUCCCUAGGAUCCUUGUAGUAGGACUAUCGGAGCGGAAUAAGUGUGUCCCAAAGUUAUAAAGAAAAACUAUAAAAUAUAAAUAAAAGUUUUUGGACCCAAAAAACAAAAAAAAACAAAAAAAAAGGCAGAAUAUAUAAAUGUUUUGCAAUUUUUCCAAAAAAAAAAAAAGCAAAUUAGCUCAAUAUACUGAAAAGAGUGGGAUACCAUUGAAUUGGGGAAAAAUGGUAGUGAUGGAGGGAAAAAAUUUGAAGGGAAAUAGUGUAUGGAAUGCAAAUAAGGAGGAAGUUGUGUGUAUGGAGUACAAAUACUCAAAAAAAAAUGUAUAAUACAAUGAACCAGGUUGCAAGAACACAAUGAAAAACUUUAUGCACAUAAGCAAUUAUAUGCACACAAUGAAGAACUUUAUGCACAUAAGCAAUUAUAUGCACACAAUGUCUUUUACUUGUAUAAGAAAUGUUAAAGUGGGUUCUUGAAAACUAUGUGCUAACUUAAAUUUAUCAUUUAAGAAAAAAAAAACCUUAAAUUUAUCACCCUAAAGUUAUACUACUAUCAAGUUGUGAUAUUAUGUCCAGAUUUUAUACUAUUAAUACAGUAGUUUACACGGUUUUAAACCACAUGGGCCAUAACACAUUUACAUUUUCAUGCAGUAUAUAGAAUCUGGUUUAAAUGCAUGCCAGCCCACACUAAUUGCUUCUUAUAGAUUCAUAUUAAUAAGAUCAACCGUGAAUUAAAUUUGAUUUUGGUUUCGUCUUGAUAUUCUAAAUUAUGUAUAUUAGAUUCACUAGAGCCUUUUCC